rnacentral:rRNA from 1 species
GACGAACGCUGGCGGCGUGCUUAACACAUGCAAGUCGAACGGAAAGACCCUGCUUUUGUGGGGUGCUCGAGUGGCGAACGGGUGAGUAACACGUGAGUAACCUGCCCUUGACUUUGGGAUAACUUCAGGAAACUGGGGCUAAUACCGGAUAGGAGCUCCUGCUGCAUGGUGGGGGUGGGAAAGUUUCGGCGGUUGGGGAUGGACUCGCGGCUUAUCAGCUUGUUGGUGGGGUAGUGGCUUACCAAGGCUGUGACGGGUAGCCGGCAUGAGAGGGUGACCGGCCACAUGGGGACUGAGAUACGGCCCAGACUCCUACGGGAGGCAGCAGUGGGGAAUAUUGCACAAUGGGCGGAAGCCUGAUGCAGCAACGCCGCGUGCGGGAUGACGGCCUUCGGGUUGUAAACCGCUGUCGCCUGUGACGAAGCGUGAGUGACGGUAAUGGGUAAAGAAGCACCGGCUAACUACGUG